ACAGUGGUUAGUGCAGUAUAGUGCAGUCUGCCGGAAACAGAAAGACGCGGGUUCAAUUCCCGUCCAAUGUC
rnacentral:tRNA from 1 species